rnacentral:lncRNA from 1 species
GUUUCUAUGUACCAAUUUGUGCAGCUGCCUGCAGAGGCCAGAAGAGGACGUCAGACUCCAUGACUAGGACUUUACAUGAUUGUGAGCAACCUGACUUGGGGGUCGGGAACUGAACCCAGGUCCUCUGGAAGAAUGAGUCUUCUUAACCAGUGAGCGAUCUCUCCAGCCCCAGGAGUAGGUUCUUCGCUUGACAAGGAGACAGUGUGGAUCCAACAGUGCAGGCCUGCCUGAAUUGGGGCAUUCUGGAUGAUUACAGCUGUAUCACCAUUUGCCUUUUGGCUGCUUCCCAACACGAGGAUCUCAAGAUGUCUGCCUGGGGUGGAUCACUGAAACGGAACGGCAAGGCACACUACUGUUGAUGGAGAGUUGUGGAGAAAUAGUUCUACAUCAGGGGAGAUGGGCUGUUCUUGAAGAAUGAGAUCCACUGGUGGUGGUGUUUGCUGUUAGAAGAAUAUCUGGUGGGCUGGAGAGACGACUCCUUGGUUAAGAGCACCGACUGCUCUUCAGAGGUUCUGAGUUCCAUUUUGCAGCAACCACAUGGUGGCUCACAACCAUCUGUAAUGGGAUCUGGCGCCCUCUUCUGGUGUGUCUGAAGACAGCGACAGUGUACUCACAUAUAUAAAAU